rnacentral:rRNA from 1 species
UACGGGGGGGGGCAAGCGUUGUUCGGAAUUAUUGGGCGUAAAGAGCUCGUAGGCGGUCUGUUGCGUCGGCUGUGAAAACCCGAGGCUCAACCUCGGGCCUGCAGCCGAUACGGGCAGACUAGAGUUCGGCAGGGGAGACUGGAAUUCCUGGUGCAGCGGUGAAAUGCGCAGAUAUCAGGAGGAACACCGGUGGCGAAGGCGGGUCUCUGGGCCGGAUACGUGACGCUGAGGAGCGAAAGCGUGGGGAGCGAACAGG